rnacentral:rRNA from 1 species
UACGAAGGGGGCUAGCGUUGCUCGGAAUCACUGGGCGUAAAGCGCACGUAGGCGGCUUUCUAAGUCAGGGGUGAAAUCCCGGAGCUCAACUCCGGAACUGCCUUUGAUACUGGAAAGCUUGAGUUCGGGAGAGGUGAGUGGAACUGCGAGUGUAGAGGUGAAAUUCGUAGAUAUUCGGAGGAACACCAGUGGCGAAGGCGGCUCACUGGUCCAUUACUGACGCUGAGGUGCGAAAGCGUGGGGAGCAAACAGG